rnacentral:lncRNA from 1 species
GGAUGAGGCACUUAUUAAGACCAUCACAGUCUUUAAGUACAAGAAAGGCGAUGGCCUAAUUGAUGGGGCUGAAUGUGUAGUUUGUUUGAAUGAAUUUCAAGAAAAUGAGUCUCUUAGACUAAUGCCAAAUUGUAUGCAUGGUUUUCACCUUCCUUGUAUCGAUCCAUGGUUGAAAUCUCACCCGAGUUGUCCUAUUUGUCGUGUCGAUGUUAACUUGACCUAUCCGUUGCCUCCACCUGCCCGGAAUUCUCAAACUCCAUCGACUGUCAACGUGGCUUCUCUGGAGAUUCAGAGGCCGGAUGAUUUGAUUUUAGUGGUGGAUGAUCACGAGAGGGAUCGUUCAGAAGAGGUGGUUCCAAGUGUAGUCGAUAAUGAUGUUCGACCGAAGAGCCCCCUGCGAAAUGUUAGUACUGCACAAGAUUCUGAAACAAGAAUUGACAUUAUCGGAACUCCCGAAAAGGAUGUUAAGAAAUUUAGCAGAUCGAUUUCUCCGGGUGCAUUUUCGAGCCAACGCCAGCGCUGAUAUUCCGAGGAUUGAAGAAGCAUAUGAAGGAUUACAAAUGGAAAGUUCCUUAAGAAGAAGAAUAGCAUGGAAUGAGAACUAGCAAGAAGACCUGUUACAAUGAGAAGAUCCAUUUCUACUGGAAGAUUCAUAUUCCAUAAUAAAGGCAAGAAUUCUAUAAUCCCACAUUGAACAUAAAAAUAUUGUAAAGACAAUUUCUUUACUUCAUACCAACUUUACCUCUUUAGUCCUUUAUCUAUUUAUGUUUAGCACAGUAGGAAAGAAACAUGUGAUCUUUGAGUUUGAUACUUGUGAUGCCUAAUAUGGGAUUGAGUGGAAAAUGAAACAGAAUUUGUCAUUUAUUAGUGGAAAAAUUGUGUGAACAACUUGCUUGAAGAAUACCAGAAUGUGCCAGCAAAAAUAGAGGCACCUCGAUCAGUAAGUUAAGUGAUGGCCUCACAAGAAUUACUUAUUUAUAUCUAUUUAUAAAUUAAACCAUGUAAUUCUGCCCAAACGGAGGCUUAACCUUCUAUGGAAAGUAUUGCCAAGACUACUUCAAAAUUUUAGGGGCCAUAUAGAUUAGGCUAUUGUCAAUGCAAAAUGGAAUUUUGAAGUUAUCUAUUUGAAAACAGAUUUAUAUCAUUGUUUUUGGUGCAAGGGUAGAUUAAAUUUGAUAUAUGUGGAUGUGAUUUAGGUACCUCCUUCUACAGUUCAUUAAGUUACAUUUGGUGAUUCUUUUAGUGCACUCUCUCAAGUCAAGCCUUACUUGUGUCGAUAACCUUUUGGAUCGUGGGGGGGGGGGGCGGCAUGGCUAAGAAUAACAAGAUGAGGUCCAUAUUGUUUUCGAAAUGGACAAAGACUUAUCAACUACUACAACUUUACUUCCCUUAACAUCUAAGCUUCCCUUCAUCCACACAAAAAACUUCUCGAAUCUCUUCCCUCUUCUCUCUCUCCCACUAGCCUUACGGGGGGGACGAUGGUUCGUCUCCGUCAUCAAUCAAAAGAAAUCUCAUCUGUCCAUAUUGAGCACGAGGUCUCUCAACUGUCAAAUUGAGAUCAACUCAUCUUUAGUCUUUUUCGACCUUGAGUUGCCACUGACCUUGAGGUCUAGACAAGUCCAACUAGUCAGAUCCUUACCAACUCUUCCACCUUAUAGUCGCACAAAUAAUUCUCUGCAAAUUUUACUGAGAGUACAGAUUUUGGACAUGGGAUCUGUUGGGAAUCAAAAUCUUUCGACUCCUUAUGAUAAUUCUAAGGAGUGUUCACAAGGGAAUUGCAGUAUAAAUUGUCCACGAUGGUGUUACUUUAACUUCCCUCCUCCUCCGUUAGAUGAUGAUUCAGGUACCCAUUUUUCCCCACUAAUCAUCGCCAUCAUAGCAAUCCUGGCAGUUGGUUUCCUUGUAGUAAGCUACUAUAUGAUAGUAAAACGGUAUUGCCGGAGAAGAAAUGAUCCAAACACGAGUAUCGAAACCCAAGAGAUUCUUGAUGGACUGACUCGUGAUCAGAUGGCCGGUGCCUCGACUGGAUUGGAUGAGGCACUUAUUAAGACCAUCACAGUCUUUAAGUACAAGAAAGGCGAUGGCCUAAUUGAUGGGGCUGAAUGUGUAGUUUGUUUGAAUGAAUUUCAAGAAAAUGAGUCUCUUAGACUAAUGCCAAAUUGUAUGCAUGGUUUUCACCUUCCUUGUAUCGAUCCAUGGUUGAAAUCUCACCCGAGUUGUCCUAUUUGUCGUGUCGAUGUUAACUUGACCUAUCCGUUGCCUCCACCUGCCCGGAAUUCUCAAACUCCAUCGACUGUCAACGUGGCUUCUCUGGAGAUUCAGAGGCCGGAUGAUUUGAUUUUAGUGGUGGAUGAUCACGAGAGGGAUCGUUCAGAAGAGGUGGUUCCAAGUGUAGUCGAUAAUGAUGUUCGACCGAAGAGCCCCCUGCGAAAUGUUAGUACUGCACAAGAUUCUGAAACAAGAAUUGACAUUAUCGGAACUCCCGAAAAGGAUGUUAAGAAAUUUAGCAGAUCGAUUUCUCCGGGUGCAUUUUCGAGCCAACGCCAGCGCUGAUAUUCCGAGGAUUGAAGAAGCAUAUGAAGGAUUACAAAUGGAAAGUUCCUUAAGAAGAAGAAUAGCAUGGAAUGAGAACUAGCAAGAAGACCUGUUACAAUGAGAAGAUCCAUUUCUACUGGAAGAUUCAUAUUCCAUAAUAAAGGCAAGAAUUCUAUAAUCCCACAUUGAACAUAAAAAUAUUGUAAAGACAAUUUCUUUACUUCAUACCAACUUUACCUCUUUAGUCCUUUAUCUAUUUAUGUUUAGCACAGUAGGAAAGAAACAUGUGAUCUUUGAGUUUGAUACUUGUGAUGCCUAAUAUGGGAUUGAGUGGAAAAUGAAACAGAAUUUGUCAUUUAUUAGUGGAAAAAUUGUGUGAAC